AGUUGUAGAAUCACUGGUGAAUAAGGGGUGGGCAAGUUCUGGUGUCAGCCGCCGCGGUAAAACCAGCACCUCGAGUGGUCAGGAGGUUUAUUGGGCCUAAAGCAUCCGUAGCCGGUUGCAUAAGUUUUCGGUUAAAUCUAUGCGCUUAACGUAUAGGCCGCCGAAAAUACUGUGCAGCUAGGGAGUGGGAGAGGUACACGGUACUCGAUAGGAAGGGGUAAAAUCCUUUGAUCUAUUGAUGACCACCUGUGGCGAAGGCGGUGUACCAGAACACGUUCGACGGUGAGGGAUGAAAGCCGGGGGAGCAAACCGGAUUAGAUACCCGGGUAGUCCCAGCUGUAAACGAUGCAGACUCGGUGAUGCAUUGGCUUGUGGCCAAUGCAGUGCCGCAGGGAAGCCGUUAAGUCUGCCGCCUGGGAAGUACGUACGCAAGUAUGAAACUUAAAGGAAUUGGCGGGGGAGCACCACAAGGGGUGAAGCCUGCGGUUCAAUUGGAGUCAACGCCAGAAAUCUUACCUGGGGAGACAGCAGAAUGAAGGUCAAGCUGAAGACUUUACCAGACACGCUGAGAGGUGGUGCAUGGCCGUCGCCAGCUCGUGCCGUGAGAUGUCCUGUUAAGUCAGGUAACGAGCGAGACCCCUGCGUCUAGUUGCUACCAUUACUCUCUGGAGCAGUGGAGCGAAUUAGACGGACCGCCACAGUUAAUGUGGAGGAAGGAAGGGGCCACGGCAGGUCAGUAUGCCCCGAAACCCUAGGGCUACACGCGGGCUGCAAUGGUAUUGACAAUGUGUUCCGAAUCCGAAAGGAGGAGGCAAUCAUCAAACAAUAUCUCAGUUAUGACUGAGGGC
rnacentral:rRNA from 1 species